rnacentral:rRNA from 1 species
GGUCCUACGGGCGGCUGCAGUGAGGAAUUUUCCGCAAUGGGCGCAAGCCUGAUGCAGCGACGCCGCGUGGAGGAUGACGGCCUUCGGGUUGUAAACUCCUUUCAGCAGGGAAGAAGCGCAAGUGACGGUACCUGCAGAAGAAGCGCCGGCUAACUACGUGCCAGCAGCCGCGGUAAUACGUAGGGCGCAAGCGUUGUCCGGAAUUAUUGGGCGUAAAGAGCUCGUAGGCGGUGUGUCGCGUCUGCUGUGAAAACUCAAGGCGCAACCUUGGGCUGGCAGUGGGUACGGGCACACUAGAGUGCGGUAGGGGUGACUGGAAUUCCUGGUGUAGCGGUGGAAUGCGCAGAUAUCAGGAGGAACACCGAUGGCGAAGGCAGGUCACUGGGCCGCAACUGACGCUGAGGAGCGAAAGCAUGGGGAGCGAACAGGAUUAGAUACCCUAGUAGUCAC